GUAAAGAUGUUGACGGGAAGAGUAAGCAGUGAAGAAAUCUUAAAGAGAGCCGGAUCAGGUGAAAGCCGGUGUUUUCAAAGCUGUUGAACAUGGCCCCUGAAUCGCACAGUCGAAAAAAGUAUGGAUAUUUAAUAGUAUCAAUAGCCUUUAUUUAAACUGUGCCGGAAGCAGCCGUUAAAAUUGCAGGGUGAUUAUUGUCACUUGUUGAGUCCCAUAUCGUGAGAUAUGGGAGAAUUAGGGUGGUAACGCGUUUAAACUCGCCCCUUCU
rnacentral:ncRNA from 1 species